rnacentral:rRNA from 1 species
GACGAACGCUGGCGGCGUGCUUAACACAUGCAAGUCGAACGGUGAACCUCGUCGGAGGGGAUCAGUGGCGAACGGGCGAGUAACACGUGGGCAACCGGCCCCCGGCUCUGGGAUAACUCCAAGAAAUUGGGGCUAAUACCGGAUGUUCACCGCUUCCCGCAUGGGUGGUGGUGAAAAGGGUUUCCGGCGGGGGCUGGGCACGCGGCCUAUCAGCUGGUUGGUGGGGGAGUGGCCGCCCACGGCGAGGACGGGUAGCCGGCCCUGGAGGGUGACCGGCCACCCUGCUCCUGCGACAGGCCCCAGUCUCCUACGGUCGGCAGCAGUCGGGAAUCUUGCGCAGCGGGCGGGCGCCUGACGCGGCGGCGCCGCGUGGGGGAUGACGGCCUUCGGGUUGUAAACAUCUUUCUGCAGGGCCGAGGCCAACGUGACGGUACCUGCAGAAGAAGCCCCGGCCAACUACGUG